rnacentral:rRNA from 1 species
GACGAACGCUGGCGGCGUGCUUAACACAUGCAAGUCGAACGGAAAGGCCCUGCUUGCAGGGUACUCGAGUGGCGAACGGGUGAGUAACACGUGGGUGAUCUGCCCUGCACUUCGGGAUAAGCCUGGGAAGCUGGGUCUAAUACCGGAUAGGAGCCAUUUUUAGUGUGAUGGUUGGAAAGUUUUUUCGGUGUAGGAUGAGCUCGCGGCCUAUCAGCUUGUUGGUGGGGUAAUGGCCUACCAAGGCGGCGACGGGUAGCCGGCCUGAGAGGGUGGACGGCCACAUUGGGACUGAGAUACGGCCCAGACUCCUACGGGAGGCAGCAGUGGGGAAUAUUGCACAAUGGGCGCAAGCCUGAUGCAGCGACGCCGCGUGGGGGAUGACGGCCUUCGGGUUGUAAACUCCUUUCGCUAGGGACGAAGCUUUUUGUGACGGUACCUAGAUAAGGAGCACCGGCUAACUACGUG